CCCGGGCCUUGUACACACCGCCCGUCACGCCAUGGAAGUUCGGGGGACCUGAAGCCGGUGGGCUAACCCGGCAAGGGAGGCAGCCGUCGAAGGUAGGGUACGAUGAUUGGGGUG
rnacentral:rRNA from 1 species